CUCCACUACCCCAGCCUAAAUAUACUAUAAAGAAAAUUGGAAAGAUAUCCAUCAUAUCCAAGACAUAUGAGUAAACCUCACAAUAAUUUGUCUUACUUGGAGGCAGUAAUACGAGAAACGUUAAGAAUUGAAACAAUCACAGUUAGCACAGUUCAUAGAUGUGCAAGAAAAACUACUUUAGGCGGCUAUGAAAUACCUGAAAACACUCCAAUUUUCAUUAACUUGGCAGCGAUACAUCAUGAUUCUGACUUGUGGGGCGAUCCUGAAGUUUUUAGACCGGAAAGAUUUCUGAAGGAAGAUGGGCAAUUAGCCAAAGAUUUUUAACUUUUUUUGGUUUUGGUCAUCAAUUAUGUCCAGGUGAAACUUAUGCUAGAUUUAACAUAUUCGGGACAUUGGUUCUUUUUCUAUAAAACUUCAACUUUUUUUUCGUUGAAGGUCAGCCAUUGAGCCUCGAGGAUAAGGAUUCGGGUAUAGUCGUCCUUCCCAAAGAUCUAUGGAUACGCUUCGAAUCACGUUAAGAUUCGUUAUUUAAUUAUUUUAUCGACAAGCAAUCUUCGAAAUCAAGCAACGUCGGCGAUGAUUGACACUUGGAUGGGUAACCGUUUUUUCAAAUACAGAGAUUAAAAACAUGCUUUAACAAAUA
rnacentral:misc_RNA from 1 species